rnacentral:rRNA from 1 species
CCCGCUGAACUUAAGCAUAUCAAUAAGCGGAGGAAAAGAAACUAACAAGGAUUCCCCUAGUAACGGCGAGUGAAGCGGGAUGAGCUCAAAUUUAAAAUCUGGCUGGUUUACUAGUCCGAGUUGUAGUUUAAAGAAGCGUUUUCGGUGGCAGUCUCGGUAAAAGUCCUUUGGAAUAGGGCAUCACAGAGGGUGAGAAUCCCGUCUUUGACUGAGAAUAUGCUACUAUGUGAUACGUUUUCAAAGAGUCGAGUUGUUUGGGAAUGCAGCUCAAAAUGGGUGGUAAAUUUCAUCUAAAGCUAAAUAUUGGCGAGAGACCGAUAGCGAACAAGUACCGUGAGGGAAAGAUGAAAAGAACUUUGAAAAGAGAGUUAAACAGUGCGUGAAAUUGUUGAAAGGGAAACGCUUGAAACCAGUCAUGCGGCUGGGAAAUCAGUCUCUGACGAGGGGGAAUGGGAGAGGUGUGGACCGCAAGGCUGCUCUUUUUCAUAUCUUUUUCGGCAGGGAUGCACUUUUUCUUCCGCAGGUCAACAUCAGUUUGCUUUGCCGGACAAAACUCUUGGGAAGGUGACAGCUUAGGCUGUGUUAUAGCCCUGGAGCGAUACGGUGGAGCGGACUGAGGUUUUCGCAGCAUGUGCUCUCGGGGCAGGCUGAUUUGGUGCUAUGAGAUCGUUCAGGGUACCAUACAUGUAUUUUGGCCUUGUGUCUUUUUUAUACUCGCUCAACUCGGCUCUUCCAUGCUUAGGAGGUUGACAUAAUGGGUUUUAAUCGACCCGCCUUGAAACACGG